UCCUACGGGGGGCAGCAGUGAGGAAUAUUGGUCAAUGGGAGAGAUCCUGAACCAGCCAAGCCGCGUGAGGGAAGACGGCCCUAUGGGUUGUAAACCUCUUUUGUCGGAGAACAAAACCCGGGACGUGUCCCGGACUGCGUGUAUCCGAAGAAAAAGCAUCGGCUAACUCCGUGCCAGCAGCCGCGGUAAUACGGAGGAUGCGAGCGUUAUCCGGAUUUAUUGGGUUUAAAGGGUGCGUAGGCGGUCCGUUAAGUCAGCGGUAAAAUUGCGGGGCUCAACCCCGGCGAGCCGUUGAAACUGGCAGA
rnacentral:rRNA from 1 species